UCCAAGCAUACGUUGACGUGCCUGAUGUCUUUUGAUGUACUGAACCCUCGCAAAUGAACCCUCGAAGUAUACCCACAAGACUUCCACCGAUAAAGCUUAAUGGGCCCGAUCUUCUCUACAGAUGGGCCCGACAACGUCACAAAUCAGGGCGGUUAUCACUCCCGCCCUCUCCUCCUCCGACCGUUUUCCGAUUAGGGUUGCGCUACCCGCUCUCCCUGUCUCUCGCCUUCCGCCAUUGAUGGUGGCCACUCACCAACCCGCUUGGCUGCUUCUUCCCUUCGCCAGAGCUGUAGCACCCCAUGAAGUUUCAUCGAAUAGCCUGGCCGAUCUCUAGCUUUCCACGCUGCUGGUCGGUCUCUAUUCGUAGUUGUCGAUCAGUAGCCAAGGACCUCUCCUGAUGGACCCGUGGAGUCAAGCGACGCCGAGGAGUCUGUCACGAGGAGCAGAGGCUCUCUCGGUCUAAACGCGUGGAAGAGGGCGAAGAUGGAGCCGGAUCUGCAGACGCUCGGCGAACCAAAUCAACCCGUUCUGAAGGUCAAAUGUUGGCCCAUGCUAGCCGGCGUAGGGACAUGAGAACUGGCACAAACGGUCUUGUACAGUGCCAAAAAAGGUUAUGCUUGAUUUUCAAGCAGCAGAAAGACAGAGGCUCCAGGAACCAGCUUCUGACAUUGGUUUGGAACCCAUAUGUGCCAUGGUUUGUGGUGUUUUCACUUCUCAUCUAGUUUUUCUUAAUUUGUUAUAUCAUAAUUUGAUGUAUCAUGUAUUUUGUUUGGUACCAUAUCAACAACCUCCGGUGCCAUGAGCUCUCGAUGGACCUCAGUAACAGCAUAAUGGAUGCUCUUCCACAAAACUAUGUGGAGCAGGUUACCCUGAGUAAUUAUGCAUACUUUUCUUCAAAAAUUUAUUAGUGUGUUUUCAGAAGGAUAGUCUAGGUACUUAGUUUCACACAUGAUUUAUUCUAAUUGUUAAUCUACCUGUUCAUUGGAUGAUAUGCACCUUUGAUGCCAUAAGCAUGAAUACAGCUAUUUCACAUAAUUCAUUUGUUCUAUAAAAGUGUUUCGUGCUCUUUUAGUCACCAAAUAGAUGUUCAUUUGAUAAAUUUUAUUUGUAAAUGUGAGUUUUUCCUUCCGUUUAAAGGUGUGCUCACAUUGUUGCCCGCCUUCUUUUGGCAUGACCUUAUCUUUUUUACUCGGCAUAAGCACUAAGUGCUAAAAGUUAUCACAACCAGGGUUGCUUUGCUGACUGGCAUGAUCAAGACAUAUUGUGUCAAAAAAAAAAUGUUAGCACUAUGAAUUGUGCUAGAAGUGUUGACAUGUCACAUAUCGAUUGGUUAUUCAUUAGCCAGUUCUGAUUAGUACGGGGCCACAAAAACUGGUGAAGGAUACAAUCAUGCCACGUUAGAAAGGUAUUGUUGUGUGCCUAUGCCACAGUGAGCUGGUUCUUGAUUACAAAAACCACUCAAAAUGAAUUUAGCUUGGAGAUCUUUUCUCAAAUAUUAUGUAAGAUCAUGUGUCUGUAGGGAAGUUUUCUUCAUUAAGAUCGCCAAGGCAAGGCAUCUUCACCACUAGUGCUACUCUUUUAAGUGUUGACAUGUCACAUAUCUACCAUCAUAGGUGUCUAAAUAUUUGGAUCAAAAAAAAAAAAUUGAUAUUUACGAAUCAUCUUCACUUAUCGAGAAAAAUUUUAAAAACAAAGUGCAAAAAUUGUCAGCAGAAGCCAUAAGGGUAUCACAUUUUCAUCAUCAUUUAUUCUCUUCUGCAGGAGCAAGGAUAGGUAAUUUCUCCUAUGUUACUGUAUUACAUUUUAGAAUAUGCAGUUUCAGGAUGUUGGGAAGAGAUUAAAUGUACUCUUGUUUCUGUGACUUUAGGCAUUUCUCUCAUGACUAAGAGAGGUUGUUUAGACGAAGAUUUGAAGAUGAUUGCUGAAUUUCUUCUAAGGUCCGCUGAAAUAGCAAGUUUUGCACCGAGGUUGUAUGGGAAGUUACGGGAGUUUCCUGAGGACCUUGAGAACAAUAUGUUUGAGUCCUUUUCAUCACAGUUUGCAAUGCCAGGAUUUGUUAUACAGUAAUCAAAGGCAGUUUGUAGAUGAUACUGAUUAUCUUAUAUGUUUAUGAAAUCAUCUUAUUGGUUUCAGCUCUGUGACUAAUGUUACAACUUUUGCAGGCCAUUGACCGGGCAAGGUUAAGAACUUUGAUGAUCGAAUUUUAUCGAUCGGGAAUAGUUUUAAAUAAAACAGUGUUUGAAUUUGCGACACUCCAAUCUCUCUGUUUGUCGAUCACCACAGUUGUGUUCAAGCAUUUGUCCUGGCAGUUAAAAUUGAUUGAUUGUAAAGUGUGUAGUUCAGAAUUUUAUCAAUCGGGAAUAGUUUUAAAUAAAACAGUGUAUGAAUUUGUGAUGCUCCAA